AUGCUUGCUUCAGCAACAUAUAUACUAAAAUUGGAAUAAUAUGGAGAUUAGCAUGGCCCCUGUGCAAGGAUGACAUGCAAAUUCAUGAAGUGUUCCAUAUUUUU
ensembl:snRNA U6 U6 spliceosomal RNA